rnacentral:tRNA from 1 species
CGGGACGUGGCGCAGCCUGGUAGCGCACCUGCUUUGGGAGCAGGGGGUCGCCGGUUCGAAUCCGGCCGUCCCGACCA